AGUGAACGCUGGCGGUAGGCCUAACACAUGCAAGUCGAACGGCAGCACAGUAAGAGCUUGCUCUUACGGGUGGCGAGUGGCGGACGAGUGAGGAAUACAUCGGAAUCUACUUUUUCGUGGGGGAUAACGUAGGGAAACUUACGCUAAUACCGCAUACGACCUACGGGUGAAAGCAGGGGAUCUUCGGACCUUGCGCGAUUGUAUGAGCCGAUGUCGGAUUAGCUAGUUGGCGGGGUAAAGGCCCACCAAGGCGACGAUCCGUAGCUGGUCUGAGAGGAUGAUCAGCCACACUGGAACUGAGACACGGUCCAGACUCCUACGGGAGGCAGCAGUGGGGAAUAUUGGACAAUGGGCGCAAGCCUGAUCCAGCCAUACCGCGUGGGUGAAGAAGGCCUUCGGGUUGUAAAGCCCUUUUGUUGGGAAAGAAAAGCAGCAGGUUAAUACCCCGCUGUUCUGACGGUACCCAAAGAAUAAGCACCGGCUAACUUCGUG
rnacentral:rRNA from 1 species